rnacentral:rRNA from 1 species
AGGGAAGAAGCGAAAGUCGACGGUACCUGCAGAAAAAGCGCCGGCUAACUACGUGCCAGCAGCCGCGGUAAUACGUAGGGCGCAAGCGUUAUCCGGAAUUAUUGGGCGUAAAGAGCUCGUAGGCGGUUUGUCGCGUCUGCUGUGAAAUCCGGAGGCUCAACCUCCGGCCUGCAGUGGGUACGGGCAGACUAGAGUGCGGUAGGGGAGAUUGGAAUUCCUGGUGUAGCGGUGGAAUGCGCAGAUAUCAGGAGGAACACCGAUGGCGAAGGCAGAUCUCUGGGCCGUAACUGACGCUGAGGAGCGAAAGGGUGGGGAGCAAACAGGCUUAGAUACCCUGGUAGUCCACCCCGUAAACGUUGGGAACUAGUUGUGGGGUCCAUUCCACGGAUUCCGUGACGCAGCUAACGCAUUAAGUUCCCCGCCUGGGGAGUACGGCCGCAAGGCUAAAACUCAAAGGAAUUGACGGGGACCCGCACAAGCGGCGGAGCAUGCGGAUUAAUUCGAUGCAACGCGAAGAACCUUACCAAGGCUUGACAUAUACGAGAACGGGCCAGAAAUG